UUCCAAGAUAUAAAUAUAGACCUUUCCAACAUAAAAAAUUACUUGACAAUAACAAAUGGGUUAUUGCUGACCCUUGUGGAAAAUUUUACUCCCCAACCAAAAGAGACAACAGCAACCGAUGCACCCCAAGUGCAUAAACCAGAUGAACUUGUGCAUAACCCAGAUGAACUAGUGAAGAUGAGACAAGCAGUAACAACCAAGAAAUUGC